UUAUACCGUGAAACUGCGAAUGGCUCAUUAAAUCAGUUAUCGUUUAUUUGAUAGUACCUUACUACUUGGAUAACCGUGGUAAUUCUAGAGCUAAUACAUGCUAAAAACCUCGACUUCGGAAGGGGUGUAUUUAUUAGAUAAAAAGCCAAUGCCCUCCGGGGCUCUUUGGUGAUUCAUAGUAACUUAACGGAUCGCAUGGCCUUGCGCCGGCGACGGUUCAUUCAAAUUUCUGCCCUAUCAACUUUCGAUGGUAAGGUAUUGGCUUACCAUGGUUUCAACGGGUAACGGGGAAUUAGGGUUCGAUUCCGGAGAGGGAGCCUGAGAAACGGCUACCACAUCCAAGGAAGGCAGCAGGCGCGCAAAUUACCCAAUCCCGACACGGGGAGGUAGUGACAAUAAAUACUGAUACAGGGCUCUUUUGGGUCUUGUAAUCGGAAUGAGUACAAUUUAAACCCCUUAACGAGGAACAAUUGGAGGGCAAGUCUGGUGCCAGCAGCCGCGGUAAUUCCAGCUCCAAUAGCGUAUAUUAAAGUUGUUGCAGUUAAAAAGCUCGUAGUUGAACCUUGGGCCUGGCUGGCCGGUCCGCCUCACCGCGUGUACUGGUCGGCCGGGCCUUUCCUUCUGGAGAACCCCAUGCCCUUCACUGGGUGUGCGGGGGAACCAGGACUUUUACUGUGAAAAAAUUAGAGUGUUCAAAGCAGGCCUUUGCUCGAAUACGUUAGCAUGGAAUAAUAGAAUAGGACGUGCGAUCCUAUUUUGUUGGUUUCUAGGACCGCCGUAAUGAUUAAUAGGGAUAGUCGGGGGCAUCAGUAUUCAAUUGUCAGAGGUGAAAUUCUUGGAUUUAUUGAAGACUAACUACUGCGAAAGCAUUUGCCAAGGAUGUUUUCAUUAAUCAGUGAACGAAAGUUAGGGGAUCGAAGACGAUCAGAUACCGUCGUAGUCUUAACCGUAAACUAUGCCGACUGGGGAUCGGGCGAUGUUUCUAUCUUGACUCGCUCGGCACCCUAAGAGAAAUCAAAG
rnacentral:rRNA from 1 species